GCAAGUCGAACGAGACUACUGAAUAGCUUGCUAAUUAGUAGUUUAGUGGCGGACGGGUGCGUAACACGUGAGCAACUUGCCCCAAAGCGGGGGAUAGCCCAGCGAAAGUUGGAUUAAUACCGCAUGUGAACUUCGGUUUAAAGGUGCCUUCGGGUGCCGCUUUGGGAUGGGCUCGCGGCCUAUCAGCUAGUUGGUGAGGUAACGGCUCACCAAGGCGACGACGGGUAGCUGGUCUGAGAGGAUGAUC
rnacentral:rRNA from 1 species